AUGUGGAUAGUUCAGUUGGUAAGAGCAUGGUGCUGAUAACACCAUGAUUGCGGGUUCCAAAUGAAACACAUGCAUAUUCCUGCAUUGCAGU